rnacentral:rRNA from 1 species
CCGUCAAACUAUGAGAGCCGCUAAUACCUAAAACCGUUUUGCUAACCGCAAGGAGGCGAACGUCUAGGGUAGGAGUGGUGAUUGGAGUUAAGUCGUAACAAGGUACCCCUACGAGAACUUAAGCUAAAACAAUGUUAUG